GACGAACGCUGGCGGCGUGCUUAACACAUGCAAGUCGAACGGUGAAGGGACCAGCUUGCUGGUUCUGGGUGAGUGGCGCACGGGUGAGUAACACGUGAGUACCCUGCCCCCUUCUUCUGGAUAACCGCAUGAAAGUGUGGCUAAUACGGGAUAUUCUGGGUCUGUCGCAUGGCGGGCGCGGGAAAGCUAUUGCUUCGGUGGGGGAUGGGCUCGCGGGCUAUCAGCUUGUGGGUGGGGUGCUGGCCUACGAAGGCGGGGACGAGUAGCCGGCCGGAGAGGGGGGGCGGUCAGAGGGGGACCGGGAAACUGGGCAGAGAGCUACGGGCCGCAGUAGUGCGGGAGACAGCAGAGUGGGCGAUAGCCUGAUGCAGCGACGCCGCGUGAGGGAAGGACGCCUUCGGGAUGUAGACCUCUGGCGUGAGUGAAGCAGGCCUGCUCGUUGUAGGGGGGGUGACGGUAGCUGGAAAAGAAGCGCCGGCUAACUACGUG
rnacentral:rRNA from 1 species